CCACCCCGAAUCAGACUUAGCCCACUCCCGUGCAUGCUGGAUAGGGUUCCCCGCCACCCUCACCGGUCGCCGCCGCCGCCCUCACCGGUCGCCGCCGCCAUCGGUUUCCCCUACAUGGCCGGAGGAUAGGCCAUCCCGCCGGUCCAUUCCCGCCCCACCGCGAGGGAGAAGACCGACCAGUUGCGCCUCCCCGCCGGUCGCCCCCCGCCACCCCAAGGAUCAAGGUCGGCCGCGCCGGUCCCCGUCGGUCGCUGCUCCGGAUCCAGGCCGCCCACCGCCCCGCCCCCAUCAGCCCGGUCUAUUUCCCACCGGAUCCCAUCUUCGCCGCCGUCCGACGUGCCUUCUUCAAGGAGCUGCGACCCCAUGUCUCAGAGGAGCUAGCCCCGACGCCAGUGAUGCCCGAGCGACGCUCCCAAGCUAUGACGUACCCCGCCGCCAGGAGGCCAGGAGGCCGCCAUGGAGGCCCGUCCCGAGCUCGCCUCGCUGCUCCUCCGGUGACCCUCGCGAGCGGCGCGACCGGAUGGGGCACGAACCCUAGCGGCGCGGUCGGAUGGGUAACGGACCCUAGCGGCGUGGCCGGAUGGGGCACGGGCGCCAGCGGUGGAGCUGGUUGGGGUGCGGCGGCCAACAGGCAUGAGAUUCAAUCGUGAACGAUGAUUAAUCGGGCCAUUAAUGCCAAUCGACGCUCCGGGAAGCUGGUCCUUUCCUACUCUGCUCAGCUUCGCAAACCACAGUCCAAAAGCAAGGUGAUGGGUGUUGCUUAGGUUCCAGCUCUGUUUGGUUUAAGAUUCUCUCCAGGUUGGAAUUCUAGCGACGUACUGCUUGGUAUCUUUGGUUCUUCCAGUUGAUCCAACGGCUAAUGGACAACCCAGACUGGCCGCUGCUCCUUUCCCAAUCUCCUCACUCUUGCAAACCAAUCUCCAGCAGCGAUGGGUGAUGUUCAGGUGUUCUGUUGGAUUAGAAAGUUUAGGAAUUAACCAUUUGGAAGGUGAUCCACUGGUUUCUAUGUUUCCAAUCUAUACAGUACCUCUUGCUGCUCCCCUGAGCAAUUAUUUGACCAUUCACCAAUAUUAUACUACAUACUUUGUACUCCGGUCCAAUGUUAUCCCAUGUACAGAUUUGUUCUUUGUCUAAUUUAUAGAUUCUAAUGCUUGGAUGCUCGAUACAAGGUCGAAUUCAAGCUAUGUACUGCUGGUUUCCUUUCUUUCCUCCACGGCGACCUGAUACGGCCCAUACGGGCUGCAAGGAGGCUCCAGAGUUACCACUACCAUUGGUCCUCCCUGCCAUUUGCUGAAUUAUGCUUCAUCGCAUAUUAGCCAGAAUUCGUGGCUGUUGUUCUAUAAUCGUAAUCGAUCAAGCCACUUCCCAGUGCUUAUGUAAUCUUUGUACUGGUAGGAACUAGGAAUUUGGAAAAACAAAUCAGUACUACUAAUUUACCGUGGAGCCUUGACAACAUCGUGCUUUGUUUAUUCACUUUUAAAAGUUAAACUUAAACUGGCAAAGUGGUUACUGUUUUAUUUCAUCCCUGUUAGUCAAAGCUCAUGUAAUGUGACUUGCCAAGUUUCUGUUGAAUGUAUUGUUUAAAAAGAAAGAUCCGAAGGACUGAUUAUUUGGCAUCAAAUUAAGUACUGUCCUGCAUGAACUUUGUCAUGUUUACCCUCUUCUAUAUUUUUUAUAUGCUUUACCAACUAUAUCUCCUGAUGUUAUAAGUAUUACCUUUGUAGGCUGAUACUAUUACAGUGAAGACAUAGAACAUGAAUUAUAGAAGUUAUUGAGCAAGGGGUGAGGCAGGUCAAUCUCUCUUGUCCUGUUUACUACAAUGUUAUAGUGAAUGUUCAGGAUUCUACCAGCGAUUAUCUCCCAGUCUUUAGGUUGACCAAUUUCAUACAAGAACCCUUUGUACUUAUCUUAUUUAUGAGUAUUAUGACACUUCGAUGACAUGAUUUUCUAGUGUAAUUUUCAGAUUUUGCAGAAAGAAACACCUAACAUCCAACAGCUGACAGCAUCAUAAGCAUUGUUUCCCCUUACCAAUAACGGUGCCAUGUAAAGGGACUAGCUACACCUACUGAUUAAUAAUACAAAGAUUAAGAUUCCCUGGGAGUUGGGAUUGCAUCUUUAUUUUGCGGCCACUUCAGUUCUUUGCUUUGAUAUGGCAGGAUUGGUCAUCUGAUAACCCUAAAAGGUCCUCUUUCUUAUCAAAACGAACAAUUACUCCAAUAGAAAAAAAUUGACCAGCUGAUAGAUAAAUAUAUUUUAUUUUUCUGAAUGUUGUAUUUAUCGACUCUAGCAUGGGAGAACAAAGUACGAACAGUGUGUUUGGAAUUUCAGUGAAGCCAUUGUUCGGUUCUUUUUGGAUAGAUUGAUUUAUUUAGGUUCUGUUCUCGUUUAUAUAAUUUGAUUUUUCACUCGGUGACAAUGUUAAUUGUAAGUAAACUGAACCAUUUGAAUCUAUUUUAUGAUGCAACCAUUUAUAUUUUCAAUUAAUUUCUUUGUUAUUUACUCAAGAUGGGCAUAAUCAAAUUAGGCAGGCUUCUCAUAGUAUUAUACUCAUCAUGGCGUAGGACAAUGCUGCAAGGAGAAACAUCAGUAUGAGCUGCAAGGACAAGAUGCCCACCCAGCCUGUGCUGGCAGCAACCUGACUUCGUUGUCAACAACUUGAUGAGGACCAAAUCGACUUCAGAUUAUUUCUAGAAGAUGCUAUAUACAAAUCCUUUCUCUGCAAUUUUUUGCCUCACACAACUUUCACCCUUUUCAAGCCAACGCCGUCGGCCAGUACAACCACUUCCUCCUCCUUCAUUUAUCUCUCUCUUGCUGACUGCCUUCCUGCUUCCUUCAGGCAGAUUCAUGAUGCACACAUGAGCAAAGUCAAAUUUAAUCGCACCCAGAAGAUGGCGGCAAGCACAUUUGGCUGCCGGGACAAGAAAUAGUUUAUCCGUCACUGCCAUUUGCAUUAUCCAUGCCUGUUGAUGUGGUUGAUACUUACAGCAAGUACUCGCUCAUCCUCUCACUGAAUCUAUAGUUUUAUCUUCCUAGCUGUUUAUGGCUGAAACUGGGGAUUACGUAUUACAAGCUCGCAGUUAUGUACUGCUGGAGAAGGAAAAAUUAGUCAGUGGCUGCUGUUGAUGCUCAUGCCCUUUUGCCGGAAAUAGUAACAACAACAGCAGUCACCUUGGGUAAUUUCUCUUACCCAAUAUAUUUACAGUUGUCUCUCUAAGCUAUUUAUGUGUCAAAUUCAGGACGAGGCAAGGUAGACCUCAGAACUAUGUAUGACGUUUCUUUACUGAUGCAGUUUAUGGCUGAAACUGGGGAUUACGUAUUACAAGCGUGCCUCACAGUUAUGUACUGCUGGAGAAGGAAUAAUUAGUCAGUGGCUGUUGUUGAUGCUCAUGCCCUUUUGCCGGAAAUAGUAACAACAGCAACAGUCACCUUGAUUUGCUUCAGAUCACGGAAGCUUGGGUUGAUGGAGUGCUUGUCUUUAGUUUUUGUUU